GUGCAAUUGACUAAUCGACAGAGGGAUUUACACAAUGACGGGAGGCACACUGAUUGGUUCUUUCCCGUAUAUCUGUCGACUUUGAUUCUAAAUAAAGAUAUGCAACCUCUGCACCAUGAACAUAUCGUCACAUCAUUUUUCGGACAUGACAGAUACACUGGUGCGAUUGAUGCAUGCCAGAGGAUUUACAUGCCUUUCAAUUACAGAGGAGUGCAUUGGUUGUGCGCUAAAAUUGAUAUGGUGGACCGUGUAGCCUACCUAUUUGACUCGUUCCCAU